rfam:Marchantia polymorpha subsp. polymorpha scaffold3825, whole genome shotgun sequence.
GAGAGCGCAGUACAACGGAAAGUUGUAUGCUGCGUUCGGGAAGGAUGAAUCGUUCCUAAAAAAAAAAAGAAUUUAUAGAUUUUUUUUAUUGAAAUUGUAGGUGCGAUGAUUUACUUCAC